CUGGAGCUCAACUCCAGAACUGCCAUUGAUACUAUCUAUCUUGAAUAUUGUGGAGGUAAGCGGAAUAUGUCAUGUAGCGGUGAAAUGCUUAGAUAUGACAUAGAACACCCAUUGCGAAGGCAGCUUACUACGCAUAUAUUGACGCUGAGGCACGAAAGCGUGGGGAUCAAACAGGAUUAGAUACCCUGGUAGUCCACGCCCUAAACUAUGGAUACUCGACAUAUGCGAUACACUGUAUGUGUCUGAGCGAAAGCAUUAAGUAUCCCACCUGGGAAGUACGUUCGCAAGAAUGAAACUCAAAGGAAUUGGCGGGGGUCCGCACAAGCGGUGGAGUAUGUGGUUUAAUUCGAUGAUACGCGAGGAACCUUACCUGGGCUAGAAUGCUGGGAGAUCGCUAGUGAAAGCUAGUUUUGUAGCAAUACACUGCCAGUAAGGUGCUGCAUGGCCGUCGUCAGCUCGUGCCGUGAGGUGUUGGGUUAAGUCCCGCAACGAGCGCAACCCCUAUCUUUAGUUGCCAACAGGUAAUGCUGGGAACUCUAAAGAAACUGCCGCCGUAAGGUGUGAGGAANGGAGGGGAUGAUGUCAGG
rnacentral:rRNA from 1 species